rnacentral:rRNA from 1 species
CACGUAGUUAGCCGUGGCUUAUUCAGGAGGUACCGUCUUCUGCUCUUCCCUCUUAAAAGAAGUUUACAACCCGAAAGCCUUCUUCCUUCACGCGGCGUUGCUGGGUCAGGCUUGCGCCCAUUGCCCAAUAUUCCCCACUGCUGCCUCCCGUAGGAGUCUGGGCCGUAUCUCAGUCCCAAUGUGGCCGGUCAACCUCUCAGUCCGGCUACUGAUCGUCGCCUAGGUGGGCCGUUACCCCGCCUACCAGCUAAUUAGACGCGAGGCCAUCUUCCAGCGAUAAAUCUUUGGUGUCUCGAUGAUGCCAUCGAAACACAUCAUGCGGUAUUAGCAGUCGUUUCCAACUGUUGUCCCCCUCUGGAAGGCAGGUUCCUCACGCGUUACUCACCAGUCCGCCACUAAGCAUUCCCUUCCAUUGUCCGAAAACUCUUUCAGGGGUGCUCCGUUCGACUUGCAUGUGUUAAGCACGCCGCCAGCGUUCGUCCUUGAGCCAGGAUCAAACUCUA